rnacentral:tRNA from 1 species
ACCUAAAUAGUUUAUAUAAAAUACCGGUUUGUGGGGCUGGAGAAAUAAUUAUUAUUAUUUUGGGUA